UUGAAUCUAAUUACGACUCACGCCAAUUUGGACAGAAUUUCUGACACCCAUGUGGUAAUUUUUGGGUCACACAUUGUAUCAUCACUUUUAUGUCUAAUUCUAGAGAUCGUUGAGCCAAUCUGGCAUUGAAUGACAGAAUCGAAGCUGUUCUUGAAUUUAAUGACGACUCGCGCCAAUCUGGAUAGAAUUUCUAACACCCAUGUGGUAAUUUUUGGGUCACACAUUGUAUCGUCACUUUAUAUCAUAAUUCUAGAGAUCGUUGAGCCAAUCUGGUAUUGAAUGACAGGACCGAAGCUGUUCUUGAAUUCAAUGACGACUCGCGCCAAUCUGGAUAGAAUUUCUGACAUCCUUGUGGUAAUUUUUGGGUCGUACAUUGUAUCGUCACUUUAUAUCAUAAUUCUAGAGAUCGUUGAGCCAAUCUGGUAUUGAAUGACAGGACCGAAGCUGUUCCUGAAUUCAAUGACGACUCGCGCCAAUCUGGAUAGAAUUUCUGAUAUUUUCGUAUGGCACUUUGUGAGUCUCAAUUAUAUUAUCACUUUAUGUCAUAAUUCUAGAGAUCGUUGAGCCAAUCUGGUAUUAAAUGAUAGGACCGAAGCUGUUCUUGAAUUCAAUGACGACUCGCGCCAAUCUGGAUAGAAUUUCUGAUAUUUUCGUAUGGUACUUUGUGAGUCUCAAAUUAUAUUAUCACUUUAUGUCAUAAUUCUGGAGAUCGUUGAGCCAAUCUGGUAUUGGAUGACAGGACAGCAAAUUGUAUAGAGACAUGAAGCAAUCUGCUAAUGAAUUUGACUUACAGGAAAAAACUUGAUUCGAACACGGACAGACCAAAAUAAGUGAGAAGUAUAUACGGCGCGUAUGAUAAAGAAGAUCGAGUGCUGGCAUCCGCGCUGUACUCGUGUUACCUGAUGUCAAAGGAGCUGGGUGAACAAGUUGAAACUUGUAGCUUAAAUAAGUAUGAACAGUUACUCGUGGAGAAAGACGUAGACACCGUUGACGGUUAAAAAUCAUCAUCAUAAUUUCGAAGGUGUAGCACUAAAAGCGAUGCCUGCUAAGUACUUUGAACAUGUCGAAUAAUUUAACAAACGUUAACGAAGAUGAUUUAUUCUACCCUUACGCGCAAGAUCCGCUUGCUGACUUCGAUGAAA